GCUGGGGUCCAACCCCAGCAGGUCCAGGGGUCCCCAAAGGUGUGGACAGAGUCGGCGAAGAAGGAAUGACAUGGAGACAGCGUUCAGUUGAUCAGCAGCCUAGCCAGGAUCUCUAGCCAAGAUCUCCAGCCAGGUUCUAUGUCCAUGUUCUCUUGCUAGGUUCUCCAGCCAGGAUCUCCAGCGAGGUUCUGUAGCCAUGUUCUCUCGCUAGGUUCUCCAGCCAGGUUCGGUCGCCAGGUUCUGUAGCCGGGUUCUUCAGCCAGGUUCUGUCUAGGUUCUCCAACCAAGUUCUGUAGCCAGGUUCUGUCCAGGAUCUUUUGCCAUGUUCUCUCCAGCGAAGUUCUUCUGUCUCUAGGUUCUG